UGUGACCAGAUAAUCAAUCUAAUGUGUCUAUAUAUUUCCGUCACCUUACUUAUAUGUGGUAGGAACGUAACAAAUAUUUAGUUAAAUGAAUGGAUGUGUAAAUGAGUAAAUAAUUGUGUGAUCAACUGAAUACCUCCAAUAUUAGUUAUAUCCAUUACACAAUUGCAUUGAAGAACUGUAGCUAAUUGGUCUCAAUCUGCAGCCUAGGGAGUAAGGGCAGUUGAGGGCAAUCAAUACCUAUUCAAUUUAAUUCUCCAAACAUUUAUUGAGCAGGUAUUGAGCAUGUGUUCACUCUCUACAAAAUUCUAUGGCUGAUCCUUUGGGAAGGUACAUAGAUAUGAGGAAUUUAUG
rnacentral:lncRNA from 10 species